CCCCUGUUGUCCCAUACAGCCCCAUACAGCCCCAUACAGCCCCAUACAGCCCCAUACAGCCCUAUAUUGCCCCAUACAGCCCCAUACUGCCCCCUAUUGCCCCAUACUGCCCUAUACAGCCCCAUACAUCCCCAUACUGUCCCAUACCGACCCCUAUUGCCCCAUACAGCCCCAUACAGCCCCAUACUGACCCACACAGCCCCAUACAUCCCCAUACAUCCCCAUACAUCCCCAUACUGUCCCAUACAGCCCCAUACAGCCCUAUAUUGCCCCAUACAGCCCCAUACAGCCCCAUACCGACCCCCAUUGACCCCUAUUGCCCCCUGUCCCAGACCCCGCUGCUGGUGGCGGCUCUGGCCGCAGCCCCCGCCCUUGUCCGGGAUCUGAUCGCGGCCGGCGCCGACCCCGACGCUGCGGACAAUGAGGGGCGGACGGCGCUGCACGUGGGCGCCACCUACGGGCUGCCCGAGGUACUGCAGGACUCCAAGAGCAGCCUGACCCCGCUGCACAUCGCAGUCAGGGGGGGGAACCUCGGCCUGGCCCAGCUCCUCCUGCGCCAGCCCCGGGGGGGGGCCCGGCUGGUCAACAUGCAGGCUCACGGUCAGUCCGCCCUGCACAUGGCUGCAGCGCUGCGGGGGGGGCAGCAGGUGGCGCUGCUGAAGCUGCUGCUGCGACACGGGGCGGAUCCGGCGCUGCCCAACAUGGAGAAUCAGCGGCCCCGAGCGCUGCUGCCAGCGGGGGAACAGGGAGAGCAGGUGGGAACAGCCAAAAACACCGGAUCUGAGCCCAAAAAUCCUUCAUAUGGACCCAAAAAUAACAGAUCUGAGCCCAAAAAUAACAGAUCUGAGCCCAAAAAUCCUUCAUAUGGACCCAAAAAUAACAGAUCUGAGCCCAAAAUAACAGAUCUGAGCCCAAAAAUAACAGAUCUGAGCCCAAAAUCACCAGAUCUGAGCCUAAAAAUCCUUCAUAUGGACCCAAAAUCACCAGAUCUGAGCCCAAAAAUAACAGAUCUGGACCCCAAAAUCCUUCAUAUGGACCCAAAAAUAGCACAUCUGGACCCAAAAAUGCCACAUCUGAACCCAAAAUGCCACUAUUUUAACCCAAAUCCUACUCCUUUAUCCCAAAUCCCCACUAUUUUAACCCAAAUCCCCACAUCUGGACCCAAAAUCCCACUCCUUUAGCCCAAACCCCCACAUCUGGACUCUAAAUGUCACUAUUUUAGCCCAAAUCCCAGCAUCUGAACCCAAAAAUCUCACAUUUGGACCCAAAAUCCCACUCCUUUAACCCAAAUCUGGACCCAAAUCCCACUCCUUUAACCCAAAUCCCCACUAUCUUAACCCAUAAAUCCCAUUUAUUUAACCCCAAAAUCCCAUUUAUUUAACCCCAAAUCCCAUUUAUUUAACCCA
rnacentral:lncRNA from 1 species